CUGGUAAUGUAGGUCAACCAGCAAUCUUGGUCCUUACCCAAUAGGGUAUAACUGUAUGGGUUUUUAGAAUACAGUUCUGGAGAGUUUUUCUCUGAGGAGAUCUAUGCUCAAAGGCUCUGCUUUGAGGAGCAGAACCUGCCGGCUCCCAUCCCACAACGUAGAGCUACUUCCGGUGGGGCUCCGUCACUCAAAUGGAGAAGAACCAGCACCAACAUGGGAGGCUUCCCAUGUUACAUAAGGAUCAACAGGAGAAGCCGGGCAGCAGAGGCUCGUGUGAUAAGAGAGGCAGGAAGCAAGAGCUUCCAUGGGAAUGGCGUGGUUUCAUCUCCUGGAUGCAGUCAUGGCAGCUAAGACAGAAUCAUCAUUCUCAGUUGAAUAGCAUCAAAAGACCAGACCAAACACCUUUCCAGUCUAAUCUUUCUGCACAGUGGCCAACUAUAAGUUGAUGUCAGUGAGAAGGUUGAACAAAGCAACAACCUCUCAGGUUCCUGAAGUAAUGGAGUCUACAGGCAUAUUGCCUCCGGUGAAAAUAAUAUGUAUCCAUCUGGACAAGAUGCCGUGCAUUACUUUAUUUCUCAUGAAGCUUGCUAAAAUGACCUUGUGCUAAUCAAAGUCUUUUAACUUGCAUUGACAAUGCAUGAUACCAUGUGUAUUCUACUACUGGUCUCCCCCCCC
rnacentral:lncRNA from 11 species